CAUAGUAAAGUGCCAAUGAAAAAUAUUCUUUUAAUUGCCUUUUUUCCUGUACAAUUUUGAAAUAUGCUUCUAAACAUAAUUUAUAUAAAAUCUAGUCAUGUAACAGUUCACAUUAGAAUCUUAUGUACAUUUAAAUUGGUCUGUAUUAUCAAUGCACAAUUAGAACUUGAGUCUAACAUUUUCAAUUACUUUUUUCAUUGAACUCUACUCCGAAAGAACUACCAGUAUACUAAAUUGAGUUUUUUUCCCUUGUCCUUCAGAUCAUUGUUAUGUAUUUACAAGUCUUAGAAUGUGAACGUAAUCAAACCCUGGUUCAAACUGCCUGGUAAGUCACUUUUUUAGAUUUCUUUCCUAGCCAGGAAAACAGAAGCAGAAAUAAAGUAAGUUUCGUUUUCCCUUUCCAAAAUAAUGAGAUAAGUUUGUUUGGGGCUUUUCGUUGUUUUUUUGUUUUGUUUUUUUAACCAAAAGGUAAAUAAUGCUUAUUUCUGCUUCCUGUUUUCUUGGCUUGACUAAUUACUUUUAAUGGAGAACUCAAUUUAACUUUGUUCUUUUUUCUACUCUUUAAUUAAAGGGUAGUCCAUGAUGGUAAGUCAUAGAACUCUGCCCUCUGCACUUCAGCCCAUGACCUCAGGAUGGCCUGAUUGGCUACCCUGCUCUCCAGCCAAUCCAGUGCAAGCUCUCAUCCGAGAUUCACUGAAGUGGUCCAUAUCCAUCUGGCAGCAUCUUCUAGUUCUGUCGGGGUGUCAAAAGGAUUUGUAUAUUUGCUUCUAGAAGUAACUAUUUGACAUGCCUAUGUAUUUAAUGUAUACUUGUAACUAUCAAAAUGAAUAGUUCAUUUUUGAUAGAUUUGUUGUGCAGCCAUUAUGAAUUAAAUGGUUUCUUAUUAGGAGUUUGACUAAAUUUUUAUUUUUAGUGUGUAUAGCAUGAAUACUACCAAAGGAGACGACAAACUUGCAGCUUAAAAUGGGCACCAGUUCCCACACUGGCUUAAUUUAUAUAACUGCUUGGCUGUAUUGCGGGUAAUAAUAUUAGAAGCAAGAAGCACUUCAUUUUUAAAAGAGAUGUUACUAUAAUAUUGCUUAAAUGCUUUAGCACUUGGACUUCUUGAGAUGCAGAUGUGUGAUUUGGAGUGCUGGCUUAUUUAAAGGUCAAGCCAAGGAGUUUGUGGUUCAGCCACAACUACUGUUUCCUAAGACUAUUGAUGUGAAGGACUUAGUGAAGUAAUUUUUAUAUUCUGGGCUUCCCAGCAAGAUGUCCUUUUUAUGACUGCCAUGCUUCUUUUGGAUUCAGUAAAUAUUUGUAAUGUUAGAAAAGUCUCAUUAUUUUUAUAAAAUGCAUGACAUUUUAAGUAUGUGUUGCAUAAAAUGGAUUAUAGCAGUUCUCAUGGUUUAGGAUUUUUAAGAAAUAGUCCAUUUAAUUUCAGCUUAACCUUUUAAAUGAUCUGUAAAAUUUCUUUGAUAGUUUAGGAAUGUUGUGGGGAGGGUUCAUUAAUAAAAGUUCAGCAAUUUUUUAACUGAAAUAGUUUAUCUCUUUUACCUAGUCACAAAAAAGGUAUGUAAACAAGGCCAUUAUAUGUGUUUAUUGCUCUUUAUUUCCCUAUCUAGAUUUUCUAAGUAUCUUAGCUUUCUUAAUAUAAGUUUAACUUGGUACUUACUGAAAAUGCCUUUUUACCCCUGUUAACGGUAUUUUGAGCUUUUGGAAAGAACUUGGUUGACACUGCUUUUAUUGUGGAUAAAGGAGAGAUGGUCAGUAAUUAAUGGCUUGAAGUAUUAUUGGAGUGGUUUAUCAUUUCUGAAACUAAUCGUGUCAGAAUUGACUUUGAAAAGCAUUGCUUUUUACAGAAAUAUAUUAACUUUUUAGGAGUAAUUUCUAGUUUGGAUUGUAAUACGAAAUAAUUUAAAAGGGCUUCGCUCAUAUAUAGGAAAAUCGCAUAUGGUCCUAGUAUUAAAUUCUUAUUGCUUACUGAUUUUUUUGAGUUAAGAGUUGUUAUAUGCUAGAAUAUGAGGAUGUGAAUAUAAAUAAGAGAAGAAAAAAGAAUAAAGUAGAUUGAGUCUCCAAUUUUAUGUAAGCUUCAGAAGAACUGGUUUGUUUACAUGCAAGCUUAUAGUUGAAAUAUUUUUCAGGAAUUACAUGAAUGACAGUCUUCGAACCAAUGUGUUUGUUCGAUUUCAACCAGAGACUAUAGCAUGUGCUUGCAUCUACCUUGCAGCUAGAGCACUUCAGGUAGGUGUAUAUUUCCCAUUUUGUUCUGUAGGAUAAAUCACACAAAUUUUCGGUGGUUCCAAUACAGAUUUAGCAAAAAUUUAAUUUAAAACAUUCUGUUCUUAUGGUUUAGAUUCCGUUGCCAACUCGUCCCCAUUGGUUUCUUCUUUUUGGUACUACAGAAGAGGAAAUCCAGGAAAUCUGCAUAGAAACACUUAGGCUUUAUACCAGAAAAAAGGUAUUCUCUAUUUACUCGUUUGUGCCAACAUGCUAAGAGUCCAAGCUACUCUAAGGAAGAAAUACUAACUUUUUUUUUCCUCCAACAGCCAAACUAUGAAUUACUGGAAAAAGAAGUAGAAAAAAGAAAAGUAGCCUUACAAGAAGCCAAAUUAAAAGCAAAGGGAUUGAAUCCGGAUGGAACUCCAGCCCUUUCAACCCUGGGUGGAUUUUCUCCAGCUUCCAAGCCAUCAUCACCAAGAGAAGUAAAAGCUGAAGAGAAAUCACCAAUCUCCAUUAAUGUGAAGACAGUCAAAAAAGAACCUGAGGAUAGACAACAGGCUUCCAAAAGCCCUUACAAUGGUGUAAGAAAAGACAGCAAGAGAAGUAGAAAUAGCAGAAGUGCAAGUCGAUCGAGGUCAAGAACACGAUCACGUUCUAGAUCACAUACUCCAAGAAGACACUAUAAUAAUAGGCGGAGUCGAUCUGGAACAUACAGCUCGAGAUCAAGAAGCAGGUCCCGCAGUCACAGUGAAAGCCCUCGAAGACAUCAUAAUCAUGGUUCUCCUCACCUUAAGGCCAAGCAUACCAGAGAUGAUUUAAAAAGUUCAAACAGACAUGGUCAUAAAAGGAAAAAAUCUCGUUCUCGAUCUCAGAGCAAGUCUCGGGAUCACUCAGAUGCAGCCAAGAAACACAGGCAUGAAAGGGGACAUCAUAGGGACAGGCGUGAACGAUCUCGCUCCUUUGAGAGGUCCCAUAAAAGCAAGCACCAUGGUGGCAGUCGCUCAGGACAUGGCAGGCACAGGCGCUGACUUUCUCUUCCUUUGAGCCUGCAUCAGUUCUUGGUUUUGCCUAUCUACAGUGUGAUGUAUGGACUCAAUCAAAACAUUAAACGCAAACUGAUUAGGAUUUGAUUUCUUGAAACCCUCUAGGUCUCUAGAACACUGAGGACAGUUUCUUUUGAAAAGAACUAUGUUAAUUUUUUUGCACAUUAAAAUGCCCUAGCAGUAUCUAAUUAAAAACCAUGGUCAGGUUCAAUUGUACUUUAUUAUAGUUGUGUAUUGUUUAUUGCUAUAAGAACUGGAGCGUGAAUUCUGUAAAAAUGUAUCUUAUUUUUAUACAGAUAAAAUUGCAGACACUGUUCUAUUUAAGUGGUUAUUUGUUUAAAUGAUGGUGAAUACUUUCUUAACACUGGUUUGUCUGCAUGUGUAAAGAUUUUUACAAGGAAAUAAAAUACAAAUCUUGUUUUUUCUAAA
rnacentral:sRNA from 1 species